GGGCCCGUAGCUCAGCUGGCUAGAGCGCACGGCUGAUAACCGUGAGGUCGAUGGUUCGAGUCCAUCCGGGCCCACCA
rnacentral:tRNA from 1 species